UUUUGACAAUGGGCGCAAGCCUGAUCCAGCAAUGCCGCGUGUUGAAGAAGGCCUGCGGGUGUAAAGCACUUUAAGCAGGGAAGGAAGGCUCUAAGCGAAUACCCUUGGAGAUUGACGUUACCUGCAGAAUAAGCACCGGCUAACUCCGUGCCAGCAGCCCCGGUGAUACGGAGGGUGCGCGCCCUUCCCCCGCAAUUACUGGGCGUAAACCGCGGGUAGGCGGGUUGACUAAGUUUGCUGUGAAAGCCCCGGGCUUAACCUGGGAACUCCAGUGAAUACUGGUGAGCUAGAGUAUGGUAGAGGGUAGUGGAAUUUCCGGUGUAGCAGUGAAAUGCGUAGAGAUCGGAAGGAACACCAGGGCAAGGGGGCUAUGGGGACCAAUACUACCCUAGUCGCCCG
rnacentral:rRNA from 1 species